rnacentral:rRNA from 1 species
AGAGUUUGAUCAUGGCUCAGGACGAACGCUGGCGGCGUGCUUAACACAUGCAAGUCGAACGAUGAACCUGGAGCUUGCUCUAGGGAAUUAGUGGCGAACGGGUGAGUAACACGUGAGUAACCUGCCCUUGACUCUGGGAUAACCUCCGGAAACGGAAGCUAAUACCGGAUAUGACGCACGGAGGCAUCUCCUGUGCGUGGAAAGAACUUCGGUCAAGGAUGGACUCGCGGCCUAUCAGGUAGUUGGUGAGGUAACGGCUCACCAAGCCUACGACGGGUAGCCGGCCUGAGAGGGUGACCGGCCACACUGGGACUGAGACACGGCCCANACUCCUACGGGAGGCAGCAGUGGGGAAUAUUGCACAAUGGGCGCAAGCCUGAUGCAGCAACGCCGCGUGAGGGACGACGGCCUUCGGGUUGUAAACCUCUUUUANUAGGGAAGAAGCGAANGUGACGGUACCUGCAGAAAAAGCACCGGCUAACUACGUGCCAGCAGCCGCGGUAAUACGUAGGGUGCGAGCGUUGAUCGGAAUUAUUGGGCGUAAAGAGCUCGUAGGCGGNCUGUCGCGUCUGCUGUGAAAACCCGAGGCUCAACCUCGGGCCUGCAGUGGGUACGGGCAGACUANAGUGCGGUAGGGGAGAAUGGAAUUCCUGGUGUAGCGGUGGAAUGCGCAGAUAUCAGGANGAACACCGAUGGCGAAGGCAGUUCUCUGGGCCGUAACUGACGCUGANGAGCGAAAGCGUGGGGAGCGAACAGGAUUANAUACCCNGAUAGUCCACGCCGUANACGUUGGGCGCUANAUGUGGGG